AUUGAACGCUGGCGGCAGGCUUAACAUAUGCAAGUCGAGCGGAUGACGGGAGCUUGCUCCUUGAUUCAGCGGCGGACGGGUGAGUAAUGCCUAGGAAUCUGCCUGGUAGUGGGGGACAACGUUUCGAAAGGAACGCUAAUACCGCAUACGUCCUACGGGAGAAAGCAGGGGACCUUCGGGCCUUGCGCUAUCAGAUGAGCAUAGGUCGGAUUAGCUAGUAGGUUUGGUAAUGGCGCACCUAGGCGACGAUCCGUAACUGGUCUGAGAGGAUGAUCAGUCACACUGGAACUGAGACACGGUCCAGACUCCUACGGGAGGCAGCAGUGGGGAAUAUUGGACAAUGGGCGAAAGCCUGAUCCAGCCAUGCCGCGUGUGUGAAGAAGGUCUUCGGAUUGUAAAGCACUUUAAGUUGGGAGGAAGGGCAGUAAGUUAAUACCUUGCUGUUUUGACGUUACCGACAGAAUAAGCACCGGCUAACUCUGUGCCAGCAGCCGCAGUAA
rnacentral:rRNA from 1 species